UUGCAACCGUCAUUUCCGGUCAGGUCUCGUACAUGUGUUCACGUGGAGAAUAUGUGGGGCACAAUAUCUAGGGAUCUUCCUUGCACCCAGUAAUGAAAGAGGUUUAUUGUAAAGGAUAUAGCAUCUCAUUGUACCGCACGUUGUGACUGCUGUAUUUUAUUAAACUAUUCUAUGAAGUUCGUAUUUAAGUUUUAUAAAUAGUAUUCGAAAGGAAUGGCUAUCGCGUGUGAAGAUUAUGUUGCAAAAUGUGAUCAGAAUGUACUGUAUUCCACUGAAGCCAGAGAAUUGUCGUCAGAAGAGUGUGUUAAAUUACAACUACAGAAUGAAAGGUUGGUUUCAGAACACCAAGCUGCAAAAUUAGAGCUCAAUGCGAAGCGAUACUGGGAUCUUUUCUAUAAAAGAAAUGAAACUAGAUUCUUUAAGGAUCGGCGUUGGACUACAAGAGAAUUUAAAGAAUUAUGUAGUGGUGAAAAUUCAUAUAAGCCAAAAGUGAUGUUCGAGAUUGGGUGUGGUGUUGGAAAUCUCAUUUUUCCUCUUAUAGAAGAUGAUCCCCAAAUGUUUGUUUAUGCUUGUGAUCUCUCACCAAGAGCAGUUGAAUUUGUGAAAUUACAUCCAUCCUACAAUGAAAAUGUAAUUAAAGCCUUUCAGUGUGACAUCACAACUGAUGAAAUAUCGAAAGAAAUUGCAUUUGAAUCCGUAGACAUUGCAACAUUGAUAUUUGUUCUAUCUGCCAUACAUCCAAACAAGUUUCAUCAGACGUUACGGAAUGUGUUUAAGGUAUUGAAACCCGGAGGUGUCGUUCUUUUUCGUGACUAUGGGUUGUAUGAUAUGGCCCAGUUACGUUUUAAGGCAGGGCACAAAAUAUCUGAAAAUUUCUACAUGAGGCAAGAUGGUACAAGAAGUUAUUAUUUCUCCAGUGAACUUAUAGGAAAUAUAUUUGAAGAAGCAGGAUUUGAAAUCAGAAGUAAUGUAUAUAUUCACCGUAGGACUAUCAAUAAAAAGGAAGAUUUGGAUGUUCCAAGAAUAUUUGUUCAAGGACAAUUUCAAAAACCUCUAUGAACUUGAAGUAACAUAAUGAAACUUAGAAGAAAAACUUAAAUGAAAGGUUAUAUUUUAGGUGCUGUAGAGAUGGCAUCAGUUUCAUCACUACGACUUCUAGGCAUAGAUGAUCAUCAUUACCAACUAACGUUUCACAAGAACAUGAAACUGCUGGCAUAUUUGAUGAGUUGAACAAAUGACAAUGCAUGGUGCACCACUUUGCAAGGCUUUCAUCUGAUUAAUCCUUUGGAAGAGUAUUCGUGUCUUGAAAUAUGUUAUUCACAUGUUCUAGUAUGCUAUUAUGGCAAGCAUGUGACAUUGGUCAUAAAGUGAUCAGUGAGAAGUUGUGGCACAAGCUAUGAACAACAAAGAAGUGUUUGUGGUGCACUGCAUUUUCACGUAGAAAUCUGAUCGUGCUUGUUCAGCACCAUUAAUUCAUUAUUACAAUGAGGGCAUGACUACACAGCCUCAUUUGAUUCACGGUUCUUGGUCUGAAGUUUGUGCUUCCGGUAAUUUUAAGGUCAAGAUAACUGUAAGGAUGCUAGUUCCUGUGGCAGUGAACAAUGAAUUGCAGGUUGGAAAAAUGUAGCUAGUACUUUGUCAGGGCAUGUUACUGAGUGUUUUUCAUCCAUAAGGAGGGUAUGAGUACAAAGUCUUGGUUGAUGCCCAGGUUGUUGGUGUUAAAGAGUUGAUGCUGAAACAUAGAAUCCUGUUCACAUCUUGGAGAUGGAGCCAGCUAGUAUGGAAGAGAUGUCAGCAUUUGAAAGGACAUAUUUUACUCUUUAGUAGUCUGAUUGUGUGACAUGUUGUGUUAAUGGUGGUAUUAACUUUGUGGUGGUGUAGUUGGGUUGAACUUUCAAACAUUUGUUUUAAGCAUAUAAGGCAAACAGCAUUAAACUUUAUAUGUGACACAGUUUUCAAGUGUAAUCUAUAGUAAUUAUCUUGGGCACUUGUGAACAUAAUUAAAAGUUUGUGCUUCUUUAUAAAUGAUAUAAAAGUAUGGUAAUAUUUAUGAUGGAGAGUGAUUAAGAAUAAAAAUUGCGAUAUUUGUGAUCACAUCAGUAUUUGGUGUUUGCCAUUUGGACUUAUUUUUGUAAUUUCAAAAUAUGUGCAGUUAUUGUGGUGUCUGGACAUCCAAUGUCCAGUCUUUAUUUAAAACAACAAUCUGGAGACUGAAUUGUGUCUUUGUCCAGGUGGAACCUACUCGAUAGAGCUAGUCCCCAAGUCCAGAAACACAAUAAUUGUAUCACAUUACAAACUUUUAGAUCUUAUUAAAAAUAUGUGGAUGUACACAACAAGUUUAUGGUGAACAAAUAUGCAAGAUGCAUUUGACUUACCUGGAAGAUAAAUGUUGAAACAAUAAAGGACAUUUUUGUAAUGUGAUACAAAGAUUUUAAAAUAUUUUGUAAGUAUUUCAAAGUCUGUAACUUUGAUUUUCUCAAGUCAAAAUGACAGUUAUUGUUACAGGUGUUUUCCAUUAUACCUUAAAAUCACAUUUUCCUGUUGGAACACAUUGUUGAAUACUCACUGUUAUCACGUUUUGUCCUUUGAUAAUGUUGUGUUAAUUUUAUCUCUUAAAGACUGAAAUAAAAAGGAAUUUAUAA